rnacentral:sRNA from 1 species
UUUUUUUUUUUUGGCGGGAAAUAGAUUUACAAGGAAUUUUAAAAGAGUUUUAAAAGAUUUACAAGGGAUUUUAAAGGGAUUUUAUAAGAUUUACAAGGGAUUUUAAAAGGGUGAUUUACAAGGGAUUUUAAAAGGUUUUUAAAAGAUUUACAAGGAAUUUUAAAAGGGUUUUAAAAGAUUUACAAGAGAUUUAAAAGAUUUACAAAGGUCUUUUAAAGAUUUUUAAAGGGUUUAAAAUUGUUUUAAAAGGAUUUUAAAAUAUUUACAAGUGAUUUUAAAAGGGUUUUACAAUAUUUACAAGGGAUUUUAAAGGCUUUAAAAGAUUUACAAAAGAUUUGUAA